UACGGGGGGAGCAAGCGUUGUUCGGAAUUACUGGGCGUAAAGGGCUCGUAGGCGGCCAACUAAGUCAGACGUGAAAUCCCUCGGCUUAACCGGGGAACUGCGUCCGAUACUGGAUGGCUUGAGUUUGGGAGAGGGAUGCGGAAUUCCAGGUGUAGCGGUGAAAUGCGUAGAUAUCUGGAGGAACACCGGUGGCGAAGGCGGCAUCCUGGACCAACACUGACACUGAGGAGCGAAAGCCAGGGGAGCAAACGGG
rnacentral:rRNA from 1 species